UACAGAGACUGCAAGCGUUAUUCGGAUUCACUGGGCGUAAAGGGUGCGCAGGCGGCCAAGUGUGUUAGGCGUGAAAGCCUGAGGCUUAACCUCAGAAUUGCACCUAAAACUACAUGGCUAGAGCAUUGGAGAGGGUAGCGGAAUUCACGGUGUAGCAGUGAAAUGCGUAGAUAUGCGGAGGAACACCGAUGGCGAAGGCAAUCCCCUGGACCUGUACUGACGCUCAUGCACGAAAGCGUGGGGAGCAAACAGG
rnacentral:rRNA from 1 species